GACGAACGCUGGCGGCGUGCUUAACACAUGCAAGUCGAACGAUGAAGCCGGAGCUUGCUCUGGUGAAUUAGUGGCGAACGGGUGAGUAACACGUGAGUAGCCUGCCCUUGACUCUGGGAUAACUGCUAGAAAUGGUAGCUAAUACCGGAUACGACCCUCGGAGGCAUCUCCAGGGGGUGGAAAGAAUUUCGGUCAAGGAUGGACUCGCGGCCUAUCAGCUAGUUGGUGAGGUAACGGCUCACCAAGGCGACGACGGGUAGCCGGCCUGAGAGGGUGACCGGCCACACUGGGACUGAGAUACGGCCCAGACUCCUACGGGAGGCAGCAGUGGGGAAUAUUGCACAAUGGGCGCAAGCCUGAUGCAGCGACGCCGCGUGAGGGAUGACGGCCUUCGGGUUGUAAACCUCUUUCAGCACCGACGAAGCGCAAGUGACGGUAGGUGCAGAAGAAGGACCGGCCAACUACGUGCCAGCCGCCGCGGUAA
rnacentral:rRNA from 1 species